GUCCAUAAAAGAGAAGUUUGAAAAUGAUGAUAAAUAAAUGUGUUGAAUAUUAAAUAAUACCAGCACAAGAUGGGAAGUAGCACCAGCUUAUUGGUCUCCAAUUCAGAAUUAUCUCUCUCUCUCUCUUUCUCUCUCAACUUUUCAUGUUAAAGGAAAACUCAUUACAAAAUCUACAGCAAAAAGAAGAAGAAAUAAGAAAAGAAAAAGGAGAUAAAGCAUGGUAGGAAAAAAAACCAUUGUACUUACUAUUCAUAUUCUCAUCUAACUGAAGUGAUUUAAGGAGAGACCUAAUUCAGAAAUUUAAGCAGCUAGCGGAGCCAUAUAUAUCUGCUGAGAGAAAGGAAAAAAAGUAUGAUCGGAAGGAACAGAAAUGUUAGAUUCCCUCUCUGCAUAAAACGCCAACCCCACUUUCUUUCUACUACUAGAGAUAUAGGGAAUCAAAGUAGUUUCAACAAUUAUUUCAGUCUAAAAGGAAACAAAAAAAGUUCAGUUUGAUAACGUCAAUUUUCUGUUAUUCUUUACCCAAAUUCUCAGGCUCUUUGUCGCCGCCACAACACAAGCUUCAGAAAAACCAGCUAAAGAUAACAAAUUCCCAGAGCUGCCUUCAGAGCCUUGAUUAUUCUACCCCAAGAAAAUAUGAUGGUGUUGCAGAACAAAGAAAAGGGGAGAAAAACAAUGUGCACCCUAAAUUCAGCAUUCAGCAUUCAGCAUCCAGAAAGAAAACCAAAAGGUUCAAAAGCAAAAUCUGAUUGGUCAAAGAAUACAUUUAUGAUGCUAGAUAGAUCCAAAAGAGGUUUUUCACCCAAAGGAACACCUACGGAAUGCCCUAGCACAGACUAUAUAUAUCUAUAGUAACACACUGUACCCUUCAUAAAUGUAUAGAUCCAUAGACUAAGGGAAUGCAGUGAUAUGAUCAGAAUCAGAUACUGAGAGAGAGAAACUAUAUAUUCAUUAUUUUAAGCAGCAGAAAAUAUUUGGCAACUAUUCAAGGAGAAGAAUAAGAGAAAAGAACAAUUCCAGAAACAGCAAACCCGCAACUGCUCUCUGCAACAUUGGAAUGUACACUGUUUCCAGGUACUUCACCUAAUCUUUGAGACUAUUCAGUGUUCCAAAACAUGUCGUACAACACUUUUAGUCUACAAAUCUGGAUCACAUCCCAAACAUGAAGCAACCCCAUUUUCAGGCUUUUCAUAAGCUUUGAUUUGGUAACAAAUUUCUGCAAAGUGACCAUAAAAGUGUGUACGCAUAACCAAAUCCAUAAUUUAGAGAAGUAAAAUUGUGCAGAUCUGUGUGUGGUCUCUACGAAAGCUGAGAAGCCCUAGGGUGCUGCAAAGGGUGUGAACAGUGAAUGAGAAACCCUAAUGCGGAGGGAUAAUGCCAAAGCGUGCCUCGUUUGUCAUUGAUUGAUUGAAUGUUCGUACAUGUGGAGAUAAGGGAUGGGAUGAGUGAUGAUAAUAAAAAGCAAGAAGCACAGUGGCGUCCUUUGUGUUUUCUUGUGUCGACAAAGAUG
rnacentral:lncRNA from 1 species